UGCAGGAAGCCCUUCCUGUGCUCUGAGCCUCUCCCGCUGCUGUGGACGUUUGUGACUGCCCUGCAGGGCACCGGGCCAGGUGAUGCAGACCAGGCCCUGUGGUGACAACCUCAGGGUUCCACGGGGAGACGUGGGACCCUCCUGUCCCCAGGCCCCAGCCCAGGCCGCCUCCCAGAUUUGUG
rnacentral:lncRNA from 1 species